GACAGAGGGUGCAAACGUUGCUCGGAAUUACUGGGCGUAAAGCGCGUGUAGGCGGCUAAGUAAGUCGGGCGUGAAAUCCCACGGCUCAACCGUGGAAGUGCACUCGAAACUGCAUAGCUAGAGUCCUGGAGAGGAAGGUGGAAUGCUUGGUGUAGAGGUGAAAUUCGUAGAUAUCAAGCGGAACACCGGUGGCGAAGGCGGCCUUCUGGACAGUGACUGACGCUGAGACGCGAAAGCGUGGGGAGCAAACAGGG
rnacentral:rRNA from 1 species